rnacentral:rRNA from 1 species
GACAGAGGUCCCGAGCGUUAGGCGGAAUCACUGGGCUUAAAGCGUGUGUAGGCGGGUCGUUUAAGUGUCUUGUGAAAUCCCAUCGCUCACCGAUGGAACUGCUGGACAUACUGGCGAUCUUGAGCCACUUAGGGGCAACCGGAACAAACGGUGGAGCGGUGAAAUGCGUAGAUAUCGUUUGGAACGCCAAUGGUGAAAAACAGGUUGCUGGGAGUGUGCUGACGCUGAGGCACGAAAGCGUGGGGGAGCAAACAGG